AAUAAAUUUAAUUUUUAGUUUAAGUUUAACUCAUUUAAUUCAUGAACCAAAUAUCAUAAUUUAAUUGUUAAGUGGACUUUCGAACUAUGUUUAUAUUAUGUUUCAAAAUAAAACUUACCCCAUAAGGAGACUUUCUCCCUCUCUUGUAGAGAAGAAUUCUCACCCACGAUAUCACAAGUAGGACAUACCCCACGAAAAUCUAUACUUUCCAACUUUCAUCUUUUCAUUUUAAUAUGUUAUUGAGUAAUUAUUGUUUAUGUAUGUAAGUGAAAGAGACCUUGUCUACUUUCUCGUUCGUAGAAAAGAUUGGAAAAAUAUAUAUUUGGAUCCUUUACUUUUUUAGUGGAAAGGUAGAAUGAUUUUAAAUAAAAAUUAAAUAAAUUACGAGAGAGAGUGAUGUUUAAAAUGAAGGGAAAUAAACAUGAGAUAAAACAAAUGAAGAGAAAUAGAAAUAAAAAAUAAAAAAUAAAGAAAGUUAGAGCACACUUAUUCGAAAAAUAAAUAAGCAGUGGCAUCAAGUGGAGAAUUAAAAUAGGUAACUGAUGUGAAGUACAUAAAACUUUUUUAAGAUCACUGGAGAGGGCAAGUUGGUAUUAGAAUAAAAUUUUGAUGGGGCCCAAUCAAUUAUAGAAAUUGACAUGUGAAUAAUAGUAUAUGGUGCAUUAUUUAUACUGCUAGUAGAAGGUUGGCAAACAAAUACUAAAAUAUUAAAUUAGAAGUUGGCCCAAUACGUAGAAACCAACGAGUUUUGAGUGCUACAUAUGCGUCUUUCAUUCAUUGACUCAUCUACUAGCCUGCAAAAUACUAAUUAAAAUGACUAUCUUAUACUAUUUUGUGACAAAUGCUGAUGAGGCAGUCUCUUUGGGCUCAUAUGAUUGUUCCUGAGCAGGGAGGUGGUUGUCAUCACACAACAAUUGUUAGUUUUUUUUUAUUAUUAACAAAGGUUUAAUUAAUGAUUAUUUUAUAUAUAAGAUUUGAAUUAUAAUGCUAACUUUUAUCACUAAAAUAACACUUCAAAGAUAUGAUUUAAUUAGAUUAAGUACAAAAAAUUACAAACAUGAAAAUAUAAAAUGUGAUUAGUUGGUCUCUAAGUAUCAAAUAUGUCAAAAUUAGAUAUAAUUUUUUUAUAUCUAAAGGAGAAUUUGACUUUUUUGAAUAGUAAAUGUUGAAACCGUUGCCAAAUUAUAAUUAUCGAUGACAAAAAGAGUACAUGUGUCGCAUUAUUGUUGGAUGCUUUUCUGAAAAUUAAGUGCAUAGUAAUAGGCACCUUAUUUUCUUCCCACAACUUCAAUUCCAGCUUUGUGGAAUUUCACUAUUUCAGUACUUAAUACUCAACCGUUAUUUUUUUCUUUCUCUUCAGGUUAUGGAAAAUGUGCCUAUUCUAAUCCUGGAUCCGUAAGUUCCUCUGCUUCAGUUUCACUGGGAAAGUAUUACCAAAGUUUAAUGUGGUCGAAACUCAUUGCUCUGCUACUUAUUUCAUACUAUUGGAUGUGAUUAAUACUAAUGGGCUAUGGUAGGUGAAUAAAACGGAAUUAGAAGAAAGUUAGGAAGUUAGCUUUGUUAGCAUUUUGUAAUAGUGAUUAUGUUGAUGCUAAGGUAUUCUUAGCUUUCAUGUUGGGUCAAGACACGAAUCUAUAAUUGUGCAAAUUAUAUCUUUUUGCAGUUUACAUAAAUUGUAAAUUGUUGGUGUUUCCUUUUGAGCUCAAUAUUCUAUUUUCUCUACUUUUUGGUCUGUGGUUA